CCGAUCUGCAUGAUAUGGCUGGUUCGUUUCUCUGAGGACACGACCAACACGCCCCUCUGAUGCUCGGAUUCCUUUUGAGGCCAGGUCAACGCAGGUAGCCUUUUCAUCACUGAUGCCGCCAACGUUGCGGUUUUUCCUUUGGAUAGUGGGUGUUUCUGCUCCCUGGACCUCUCUGAUCACGGUCAUUAUGAGGUUCAUGGGGACACAACUGGGGAGACUCAAAGGAUCCAGACAGAGCCAGCUGAGUCACGGCCGUUUGCUUUUCGUCAUAGUCAGCCAAUGUCUACUGCAAACAUGAGUCAGUUGACUAGAUCAAGUAGCACCGCUCGGUCAUUUCAAAGGUCAAUACAUGUGUCAGACAUAAUGGAUGGAAAGAUUGUUUCCACAAGGGUGGUCAUGAUCAGAUGUGUUGAAUCAGAGGCUCUGAUCUGAGGUUCCACUGAUCACAGGAAAAGUGAAUGUGGCCAUGGGAGACAGUGAGGAGUACAUCCUUACAGACACCGUUGGGAAUGAAAUCGUUGCGUCUGAAGGGACAACUGGGUCUUUGUACUGGAAGCCGAAUGCAAGAAAGAUCCAUGCUGUUGAGAGUUCUGCUUUCAGGCAAUGGCGUCGAAGAAGCUCAAGAAGCAGAAAUGAGGUAUCUGAAGUCCACACACUGAGCAACAAGGUGGAGGAACUGCUGGAUGCAUCCCAAGGCCUGGAAGAAGUCACCAGGAAGAUUUCUGACAUAGUGGCAGCCAGCCAUGACUUGGUACCAAGGCCAGAAGUCAAACAGGCAUUGAGCUGUUUGAUCUGCAGAGAAACAAUGACUGGACCCAUGUUUUCCUCCUGCUGCCGAAGCAUCGUGGGAUGCAGGCUCUGUGUGGAGGAGUGGAGGAUAACAUCUCCCCGAUGCCUUAAGUGCAGGGAUCAGGAGCCAGUGUAUACCCAGGUUGCUGGACUGUCUGCAGCACUGGAUGCUUUAAGUGCCCUACCCUAAAGUGGACAGCAGUUCAGUCGUUUAUUGUUAAGUUUAUUGUUAAGUUUAUUGUUUAUUGUUAAGUGGUGUGUGUUCAAAUUCCAGGUUCCAUGAUAUCAUCAUACAGAAAAUAAUUGUUGUAGUUUUCUUUAGCUGUAUGACUUGUUAAUUGUUCAUCUGCAAUGUUUAAUACAUGGAGAAUUGUUUGAAUGUGUGUCCAUGGUAUGUUUAAUUAUGUUUCUAAACACAGGCAAAUAGCUGCAUACGUAAGGCAAUACAAUCAAACGCUAUUAUUUUAUCAUCCACGCACCAACAGAACAUUUGGAAAUCAGCCAUUAAUCAGAGGUUGUCGAAGUAAUCAGAUCUUGUUCUUGAGUAAAAGUAGA